rnacentral:rRNA from 1 species
UACGGAGGGUGCAAGCGUUAAUCGGAAUUACUGGGCGUAAAGCGCGCGUAGGCGGUUUUUUAAGUCGGAUGUGAAAGCCCCCGGCUCAACCUGGGAACUGCAUCCGAUACUGGAAGACUAGAAUGCGGGAGAGGGAGGUAGAAUUCCAUGUGUAGCAGUGAAAUGCGUAGAUAUAUGGAGGAAUACCAGUGGCGAAGGCGGCCUCCUGGCUCGACAUUGACGCUGAGGUGCGAAAGCGUGGGGAGCAAACGGG